UUGACCUCGGAUCAGGUAGGAAUACCCGCUGAACUUAAGCAUAUCAUAGUCCGGAGAGAAAAA
rnacentral:rRNA from 1 species